GGUCUGAUGGCGUAGUUGGUUAUCGCAUCUGUCUAACACACAGAAGGUCUCCUGUUCGAACCAGGGUCAGAUCA